ACCAUGUGUUUUGGCUCUGACAGAUCAUCAUAAACAAUGUAAGACCAUUAUUUCACAUUAUAACACACCUCAGACUCCAUGCAUGCACCUGUGCCAUCACUGUCACUGGUUGUGUGUUCAUCAAGAGACUGCUGCAGUAAUGGAAAUACAGAAGGUGACAAGAAUUUAAUGUGGUGCUUAAAUCACAACCAUAAUACAAGUUAGACUUGAUAUAAAGUGAGUAGACCUAUUGUUCAGGUUCGUUGUUCAACCUCCCCUCUUCCUCAUCACUUUCCACUAAAAUGUGCCCAGUGUGUUGCUAAAAACAUUUUAUAAAGAUAACUUAUUUUAGCUUCAUAAGCAUAACUCAUGGGUUGUGUUUAAGCUCUGACAAAUCAUUAUUUAUACAGACAAAGACCAUUAUUUCUCAGCCGUAAACAUUUUGAAACUCAAACCUCAAAAUUAAAGGGGUGGUUUACUGCGAUUUCACUUUUUUCAUUUUAAAUAGUGUGUAAUGUUGCUGUUGGUGCAUGAACAGUAUCUGCAAAGUUGCUGCGCUGAAAGUUCAACGUAAGCAGAGAUAUCUUUUAAAAAUCAGGAAGUUUAAUGCCUACAAAAACGACUCAUAUGGGACUACAACGAGAUACUUCCCGGAUUGCAUACGUAAAAAACCCAUCAAACCCCUCCCUCCGGAACAUGCCAAAGAGGGGGCAAGGCCAUGUUCUGCGGCUUUGUCGAAGAGGAAGAGUUAUAGUGGAGAGUUGUAGCCAUGCCGUCGAAACGGUGUUAUUUUCACCCAGCUGUCAGGUCUUCUGUGUUCGGGCUUCCUACGGAUGCUGUAGUUCGUCAACAAUGGUUCAAAUUUAUGUUUGAUUAUGUUCCUGACAAUUACAAUCCUAAUUUAACUCUCUGUGCUGCGCAUUUUACGGAAGACAGCUUCCAGAAUCUACACGAGUUCAAUGCCGGAUUCACACAGAAACUAUUACUAAAACAUGGAGCAGUUACAACUUUAAAACCAGAGGCAGCAGUUGUUGAGCCACAACCUCACAUGCAACUGUCGCCCGUGAAGGUGAUGGGCGUGAAGUUUCCGGACGAUGUGCAGUACGCAGUUUAGCCAAUCACAACACACCGGCCCAACUAACCAAUCUGAGCCCAUCGCCUGUUUCUGAGGGAGUGGUUUCAGAGAAUCAGGAAGUCAACCGGUCAUUCAAAUGACAGAGGAGAAAGCGGCUUACAAUAAAGGUGAAAUAUAUGAAAAAUAAGGCGUUUUUUAACAAACGAAACACGAAGACAUGAUAUAUUGCACCCCAUAAACACAAUCAAGCAAAGAAAAAAAGCAGUAAACCACCCCUUUAAAGUUAACCUCAAAGUUAAAGUCCAAACUAGAGCAAGGAGCACUGUCUUUAUCUGAAUGGUCAUCAUGAGACUUCUGAGAAGAUACAAUAUUAGAUGUUAAUGUAGUAAGUUCAAUAAAUACUGUACCAGUACUGUAAGCCUUUAUAAUAAUCAUCAUGUACAAAUGUAAUUUUACCUCUGAAUUAUUGUAAACCCUGCCAUCUUCACUCCAAUCCGAAUUAGAGCUGCACAGAUAUUGUUUCUUGCGGUUUUAUUCUCUCAAACAGAUGCAUAAACAGGAUAAACAGAACUUCACUUAUUUGCUUAACAUUACCUCUCUUCAUCAUCAAGGGGAUCUGAAAUGAAGUCAGUAAUAUCAGGUAUUUAAAACUUGGUAAACAGGUAUUUAAAAUAGCAAAUAAAAUAUGGAAAAAACAUUACAAAUUGUAUCAGAAGUAGCAUUUCUGUGAACUUUGAUUAUUUAUUUUGUGCUACAUGCAUUUUAUACAUCUAUACAGUGCUCAGACAGGUCCCUUUACAAAAGACACUGGAAUCUUUACGUGUACACUGUUAUCGAAUAAAAAUGUCUAGUUUUCAUGAGCUGACUAAUACGUUGCAAAUAUGAUCAAAAUACAGAGCGAGGAAAUUACAUAACUUUUAAAGUAGUUUUGACAACAUGGCGGCGCUUGUUGUUUUGUUCGAACCAAAUCAAUAUUGAAUUGUCUCGGCAGCUAAGUUACAUCGGGAUCUAAAGCAGUUUUCGUGUCUUGACACUGUAAAAUUGCAUUAUUUGUCAAUUAUUUUAAGCUGCCCUUAUAUAUUUUAAAUGUUUUCACUGACCUCGAGAGAUAUUACAUCCCACUUAGACAACCAGUUGAGACUUUUUUAAAAUUUAUUUUCUAAUACAAGUUAAUAAAAGUUAAUUCGUAAGCAUACUUAAAUACAUUCCACGGUCUAUGAUCAACUUCAAAAGCGAAUGAGUCGGUCUCACUGUGGGGUCACAACCUUAUAUGGUCCAAUUAGGCCUACCAAUUUUAUCCAUAUGAUAUCUUGUGGUCCGUGGUAAGGGCUCGUUGCCAUCGCGCAAAUAUCUUCUGUACAGUACCUUCCUCUUCUUUCUUGACGGCUCCAUUUAGUUAAAAACACAACCGUCAUCUGAUGCUUCACUAUUUCCCUCCCAUCAGGCUGUGUGUGGAUUGUGCCUAACGACAGCUUGGAAGAACCUGACUUUUGAUUGGAUGAUCUGAUUGACUCUGAUUGGUUCCAAUUCCGUUCGCGCUUCUUUUCGUUGCUGAGAGUCAAAUCUAGUAAACAAAAAGAGAAACAGCUGCAAACAUGUAUGUGCUCAUUAAAUGGAUUAAAGAAAAUAAAGUAAGUGUUGGAUUAGAGAAUUAUGUUAGGGAUAAAAAAAUGUUAGGUGACCCCAAGAGGAUUGGCCUGGUGGAACAUGGUGCAAUAGGAACAACGCCACCUAAAGGCGGUUGGAAAACUUUUCCUGCCCAGAUACUCUGUGUAAACGGUAAGCAAAUCAAUUAUAAAUAUUAACCCAUAACACGUUACGUAUUUAUUUACUUAUUUAUUUAUUGUAUGUUCAUGACUAUAAUUGGCCAUAUAUAAGUCAAAAUAAAUGUAUGCUAGGCAGGUUAUACUGUGUAUAGCAGCGCGCGCCUCCCGCGUUUUUGUCAAAACAGCACGUGCAGCUGAUCGUUUUUACCGAUCGAGUUUUAAACGCACAUCAACUUAUAGCAGUGACUUAAGAGUUAUGAAAAUAAUAUUUGAAAUGAGAUAUUUAGGUUACUUACACAGUAUGACAGAAUGUCAUCUGACAGAAAUAUUUUGGUGUUUCUUUACUGACAGAAAAUUUUCGUUAAAUCAGGUGAAAACAUUACUUCCCAAGAAAUUAACUGUUUUUAUGAAAAUAUGAUAGUGAAGUUUAUGACAGCUUCAUCUUUAUUAUGAUGUUAGUUUAUUAAACAAUACUGGUGGGGAUUGAGUUGAGACUUACCAUGGUAACUUUUCCACCUCUUCAGUAAUAAUUAAGCGAUUAUUUUAAUAUUUAUGCCUAAUUAUUUACUGUAGUUUAUUUCUUACACUAUAAAAUGGCCUCAUUAUGCUAGAUUAAACUAUAUUUAUAAAUGUUCAACAUAAAAAUGUAUUACCCAGGAUAAUGUAUAGACAUUUUAAGGCAGUUGAAAUUAAAUGAUUAAAAUGAAUUUGAAUUUGCAGUCGUCAUUCACAUCCUAAAUUAGUUUUGGGCAAAUAUUUAGACUAAAUAUCUACCCAAUUAUAAUCUACAGCAGACAAGACAAAACAAUCAAAUUAAUAAUAUCUCAGAAAACACAGUAAGAAAUAGUGGAUACUUUGUUUUCUUCACACUUUUCAAGAGAAUAUAAAUACAUGUUAAAGAAUAAUGCUCAAUAAUUUUCUAAUCACUUUAUCGUAAUACAGAGAGCCUUGGGGAAAUAAGAAAAGCAGAAUGUCAAUGGAUAGAGACACACAAAUUGUCUCCAAAGGAUACAAUUGCCACUGACGAUGAUGGUUUCUCUGAUGAUGGGGAUGAAAGUCCUCAAAACCAUGAGGUGCAGGAUGUUUCAUACUGGACCCCGAAACGACCCAAGAGAGACUACAAAAAUUAAAUUAAGGACCUUGAGGAGAGGCUUAAAGAUAAGGACAAAGAUAUCAGGCGUUUGCGAAGGUUGAACCUUCAACUGCAAGAGG